AGCGAAGGUGAUGAGAAGAAGCAAACAUAACAACGACUUGAAAUAUUUGAUCAUCUUUGAACAAUCUCAAAGAACUUUGAAACAAAUAACAAUACCUAAUAACUUAAGAUAUUAUAACAUAACAUAAUUAACUUACAAGAUUAAGAUUGCUAUAAUAUAAAGAAUCGAAGGAAACUACGUUGACCUCACGCUGACAGAAAAACUCGAAUCAUGGCGCCAUCUUCACUGGGGUAAAAUCUCUCGCAGACAAACUGGCUGCAGACAAACUUGACGUUACAGUGACGCAUAAAUUGCAUUUUAAUAAAAUCAAGUUGAUUACAUCAAGGAAUACUACCGAACGAAUAAUGACAAAAACACCGUGUCUCAGUGAGGAGAACUUUGUACAAGGAGUGUGAAAUAAUAAACAACAAAAAUAUUUUAUUGACAGCUUGAAAUGUGACGUAAAAUAUGCAAUAAACACAUUUUCAACACAA